GCACCUUCAGAAGGGUCAAGAAGUGACACAGCAGAAGUGAGACUAAAACGAAAACCAGAAAAGGAUGAUGGCUCAUGAAACCCUGUUGGUUAAAAGGCUUUUCUGGAAGAAGAAGGCAUCAUGGGGCCAUAAGUCGGGUGACACAACUGAACUUCUAAAUUCCCCAGCUUCCAGUUACUGAACACUGAGGGAAUUGCUUCCCUUUCCCAGGGAGUCUCCUGGUCUGGAGAAGAGGACCCAGCCCACCUUACAAGUUGCUGUGAAGCUCAAGGCUGAGAGAAUUUCUUGAAGACUUGAGGCCUCAGAAGAGUCUUUUCAGAGUUUACUAUUUAAUUUAUCCUCCUCAUUCCAAGUGACAGCUAACUUGGCCUAGUGUUACCACUGUGUGGUGAUGGUGGAUGGUCUCUAGGUCUG